UCUACAGUCACGGUGGUCCACCUGUGGGGCUCACAGUGCGCCUGGCAGCUGAGGUCUGUACGGAAGCGUGUGGUCUGCAAGCGUGGGGUCUGCGUCACUGUUCGCGGAGUUUGGUAUCAGAAGUUCCCGGGUGCUGCCUUCAGUGCUGCCGAAUCACGUGGAACGCAUGAAGAAAGCAGUGUCACUGAUAAAUGCAAUAGAUACAGGAAGAUUUCCACGGUUGCUCACUCGGAUUCUUCAAAAACUUCACCUGAAGGCUGAGAGCAGUUUCAGUGAAGAAGAGGAAGAAAAACUUCAAGCGGCAUUUUCUCUAGAGAAACAAGAUCUUCACCUAGUUCUUGAAACAAUAUCAUUUAUUUUAGAACAGGCAGUGUAUCACAAUGUGAAGCCAGCAGCUUUGCAGCAGCAAUUAGAGAACAUUCAUCUUAGACAAGACAAAGCUGAAGCAUUUGUCAAUACGUGGUCUUCUAUGGGUCAAGAAACAGUUGAAAAGUUCCGGCAGAGAAUUCUGGCUCCCUGUAAGCUAGAGACCGUUGGAUGGCAGCUUAACCUUCAGAUGGCUCACUCUGCUCAAGCAAAACUAAAAUCUCCUCAAGCUGUGUUACAACUCGGAGUGAACAAUGAAGAUUCAAAGUGUCUGCAAGUUCUUUUCCCAUUAGUCUUCUCUGUACCAACCAGCAAGAACUCUGACCCUGGAUGAAUGUUACCUGACUUUACUGCCAUCAAGCAUUUUUGGAGAAAAUAACACAUUGGGCUAAUGGUUACCUAUGAUUUCCUGAGGUCUGGGUUCGACCCCUUUUAAUCAUCUGAGGAAUUUUUCUUUCCUCCAUCUUCAUUAUCUUUCUCCCUGUAGACUUUUUACUGUCAACGUUUAAACAUGUUCAAAUAAAUCCAAGCAUCGAAUGAAGGUUCUAUCCUUUAACUGGGAAACACUCUCUGCCUUCCUCAACUCCUCCCACCUAACUGUUCAGUUAUCAGAUGUGAUCUUCUGAAGGAGGUUUACCUUGACCUGAACUGGCUGAGUUCUCCUACUUCAUACCUUCUCUUCACAGCACUUGUCACAUUUGUAAUAAUGUAUUUGUCAUUCUCCCUGUGCCUUUUAAUGUUGGCUUCUAGAGAUUAGGGAUCCCACUGGUUAUAGGACUGGAGAGGGGAGCUCAAGAAAUAUUUGUUGAAGAAAUGACUGAAUAAAUUAACAACUGUAGCUUUUCCCAGUUCAGUGCAUCAGUUGUGUCCUUGGCCUUAUUGGAGUUUCUCUUCCUUAGCAGCAUAAUGAAUUUUAAGUGGAGGAAAAACUAUUAGUGAUUCCACUAGAGUUAUUAAGCACUGUAGCCCGUAAUGCAUCAUAGGCGCACAACAUAUAUACUUUUCCAUUAUUGUCCUCUCCUUUUUGCUUUAAAAAUAACUAGAAAUAUGUAAUAAUUUCAAAUACUAGGAAGCUGAGUAUUUUGUUUCUUAUGGCACUUUUAAUCAAAUCACAUUAUUUAUUGAGUACUACUCAGUGUAUAUCCUAAAGUAAAAAAUAAUAAUAAACAAAUGAAUCAAGUUUCUAAAAAUCAAAACAAAAAACUUUAAAAACAGUAUGGGAAUACAUGUGUUCAAAAGAGACCCCAGAAAGUGUUUUCUUCCUGAAUAUAUUAGACCCUUUUCAGCUCCUAAUGCUGUAGAAUAAAUGAAGUGUUAUGAAACUUAUAAUUAGGAACUAUCUGAAAGCCAAAUGUUUAGCUAAAAUGUGUGAUAAAUUAAUGAACAUACAAAUGAAUAGAUAGCAGUGGCAGUGUAUUUGUUUUGUGAAUUUUAUUUAUAUGCAAAAUAAUAAUUGUAUAUGCAUUUAAAUAUAAUUGAAUGGUAUACAUAUGUAUAGAGAUUGCUACCAUAUUUGAUGGAUUGGUAAAUAGUAUUAGAGGUAAUUUCUGAAGAUAUUUUAGUGUAAAGAUAUUGAUGUAAAAAAAAAUUCAGCAACCUAUCUAUAUAUGGCUGUAACAAAGAAGAGUGAUUUGGACUACUGCUACAAAGUAGGUUAAAUGAUCUCUACAUUACUUCAUGCAUUAACAUUCUCUAAAUUACUUCAUAUAUUAACAUUUACAUGUAAUAUAUUUGUAGUAUAUUCUAAUUUAAAUAUCCAACGGAAAUUUGGAAAUGAAUAUAGUUUGUGUUUAACUGAGUUGAGAAAGCAUAGUAUGGUAAUUAAAUUCUUUUUUUAACCAAACAUUAUUAUAAAUAAAAUUGCUGAAUUCCAAGUAUUUAUACUUAAAUAACUUUAUGUUGUAAACAGUGUUUUUUUAAAGUACUUUCUUUAUACCUUACACUUUAUUUUAGUUAAGUUAUAGCCAUGUGUCUUGGGUAGAAUUCUGAGAGAAUAAUAAGGGACUUUACCCUGUAAUCACAGAAGCAGUUUGGUAAUAUAGGAACCAAGUGACAGCUUUUCUUUUUCAAGUAUAUAGAUUCAGAUCUGGACAGGAAUCUUUAAGGGUGACCUAAAACAUCAUUACGUCAGUUUACAACAGAAGGUUUACUCUGUUAGUUUCCAGUAACUAUAAUGGAAACUAACCUAGAUGAACAUUGGUACCUACUUUGCAGUUAGUGACUGAUUUUAUUUGACCAAUUAGUACUCAUGAUGGAGAGGAAAAUAACUUGUCUGUGACCUGUCAUGAUCAACUCCUAAGGGACAAGCUUUGAUUACCUCUUAGGUUUAUUGUUUUUGCCUUAUCAAGUCCACUUGACUUAAAGUAUGUUCUACAGGCGGAAUACACUGGGGGUGGCGGGCAUGGAAUUUUUUUUUGCUAGAAUUAGAGCUAAUAAGUUUGAUUUAGAGUAAUCAGUUUUUGCCUCUGUUCUCCCAACAAUUGUGUGAUAUUAGGAAUAUCUUUCUUGUGUUUCUUUUUAAUAGUUUUUAUUUUAUUUAAAAAAAAUGGAACACUUCACAAAUUUGUGCAGGGGCCAUGCUAAUCUUCCCUUUGUCUUUCCAAUUUUAGCAUAUAUGCUACUGAAGUAAGUGAGCACAUGGUUUUUCUCUUUCUUUCUUCUUUCUUUCUUUCUUUCUUUUCUUCUUUUUCCUUCCUUCCUUCCUUCUUUCUUUCUCUCUCUCUCUUUUUUUUUUUUGACAAGGUCUGGCUCUAUCAUCCUCCAGGUUGGAGUGCAGUGGCACGAUCUUGGCUCAGCUUCCACCUCCCGGCUCAAGCAAUCCUCCCACCUCAGCCUCCCAAGUAGCUGAGACUACAGGUGCACACCACCACACUUGACUAAUCUUUGUAUUUUUUUGUAGAGAGGGGGUUUCUCCAUGUUGCCCAGGCUAGUCGUGAACUUGUGAGUUCAAGCAGUUCACCCACCUUGGCCUUCCAUAGUUCUGGGAUUAUAGGCGUAAGCCACUGCACCCAGCCCAUAUGUUUGUUAUUAAUGAAGGUUGUGCUAUCAGACACAUAAUAUCACUGUGAAAACAACAUUUGCCACCUAAUUCCUUAAACAGUGUUCUACAAGAAUAAAAAAUUUAUUGAUGGCUCAUUGUAUGUUAGGGUUUAUUCUGAGUGCCUUAGGUUCCACUUCCCUCUGUGGAAGCCAAAGUGGGGCAGAUAGUUCCUCUCAUAACUCCUGUGACAGCUAGAGUUUGGGGCAUAUGACCUCCUGUGACAGCUAGAGUUUCCAUCAACUAGUUGGAAAUCGCUGCAUGAGACUUCACAUCUAGGAAAAGUGAUGCAAAGACAUAGCAACAGUUUAGAAUUUAUUCUUCUAGUGGUUUCCAACUCCCAGGCUCAAGCAGUCCUCCCACCUCAGCCUCUAGUGGCUAGAGCAGCAUCCAGUGUCUCAUACCAGUGGAGAUACUGGUACCAGCAGUGGUGGUGGUGCCACAUUCUCAGCAGAGGCUUCCUAGGCUGUCUUUUUUCCAGCAUGAUUUUGGUUGCAGUUCUGGCUUCCUAACCUUCUUUAGUGCCAUCUUGUUUCCCAAGUCUGUUUCUUCAGCUUCAUCAUUUUGUGUGCCAUCCGAAUUGUUUCCUACUUAACUUAACCAGAAAUCACUUCCAUUCUUUGUGACCAAGAACUGGACUAGUACAAUUCUCUUGGAAAAAUUGGCCUUAAUCCCUAGCUGUUUGGCAAUAUCUUAUUAUGAUUAAUUUUUUAUAGCCACAGCUGCCAGAACCCUAAAUUUCAGUUAACACUGUAAAGAGAAUUUAAGAAAGAGGAAAUAAGUUUAUUUAAGUCAUGACAUCAGAAGAAAACAGUAAUGAAAAUCUAAUGAACAGUACUAUUUUCAAGAAAUUGUUCAUGUAUUUUAGCAAAAUGAAAACCACUUAAAGCAUAUUUUCAGUUGUUGCUGUUUAUUAAUAUUAUCUUUAUUAUGAAAGGAGGUAAUUUGUACUAGGCAUGUACUCCUGACCUUCUGAAAAACCUCCCUUCAUUUUUCUUUGAAGAAUCUUUCCCUUUCCUGCUCUUAGAGUAGGGCUACCUCCACCAAUUCAGAGGUGAUGUAUGUGACCUAUGCCUAAGCAAUCAGCACGCUUUAUCUCCUUCAACACAGUGAUUGGUUGAGAUUGGAUGAGUAUAUAUCAGGGUACCUCCACUGAAAGAUAGCUAUUGCAGCUUCAAGCACCACAGCCUCACACAUCACAUGGAGCUGAGAAGACCAAAAUAUCAGAAAGUAGGACUGAGAGGAUGGAGGGAAAGAAACUGAGUCCUGAUGGUGUAUUUUGAGGCCUAUAUAUAUAUAUCUAGUAGAAAAUGUUAUGAAACUUUUAUAAUUAGGAACUGUUUGAAAGUUAAAUAUGCAGCUAAAAUAUAUGAUUAAUUAAUGAAUGUACAGAGGAACAGAUAGCAGUGACAGUGUAUGUUGUGGAAUUCUACUUACAUACAAAAUAAUUGUAUGUGCAUUUAAAUGCAACUAAGUGGUACACAUAUGUACAGAAAUUGCUACCAUAUUUUAUAGUUUGAUAAAUACCCAGCUAUUUUAAAAACUAUUUCUAAUCCUACAGUUUCAGUUCCAUAACCCAUUACACUGCUUUUUUGCCUAUGCCAGUUUGGGUUAGAUUUUCUGUCACUGGCAACCAAGAGUUCUCUGUUUCUUUGGAAUAUAAAUGCUAAAUCAUCUUGAGUUGGGAUUGUAAAGUCUUGCUACCAUGUUUUGAGGAAUACCUCUUAUUUAUGUUUUAGUUACAUAUAACUUUUGUACCUAAAAUAUUAACAAGGAAAGCAACUAACAACUUUAAGCUGAAAUACUAAUCCUGAAAGAUAAGAAUGAAAACUCAAACCUUAAGUUCUAUAAAACUUUGAGAUAGCUACAUGUUUACUUUCAGAAUAAUUUAAAUUGGUAGAGUACAAGUUGGGAAACAAACACUUUAAGUGAAUAUUUAAGUCAUGUAAAAUAUGUAUUUUUAAAAGUCAAAUUAAACAUAUUACCAAA